rnacentral:lncRNA from 1 species
AAAGUUCUGGCUCUCAAAGGGUGUUGAUGGGUUUAGUUUCGAUGCAGUUAAAUUUCUUCUGGAAGCAAAGGACCUGAGAAAUGAAAUCCAAGUAAAUACAUCCCAAAUUCCGGACACAGUGACCCGCUACUCAGAACUGUACCACGACUUCACCACUACCCAGGUGGGAAUGCAUGACCUUGUCCGGGACUUCCGGCAGACCAUGAACCAGUUCAGCCGGGAGCCUGGCAGAUACCGGUAACCAUAGGCCCGACUUAUAUUAUAAAAAGGCCUGCAUAACUACAA